rnacentral:rRNA from 1 species
AUUGAACGCUGGCGGCAGGCCUAACACAUGCAAGUCGAACGGUAACAGGAAGCAGCUUGCUGCUUUGCUGACGAGUGGCGGACGGGUGAGUAAUGUCUGGGAAACUGCCCGAUGGAGGGGGAUAACUACUGGAAACGGUAGCUAAUACCGCAUAACGUCGCAAGACCAAAGAGGGGGACCUUAGGGCCUCUUGCCAUCGGAUGUGCCCAGAUGGAUUAGGUAGUAGGUGGGGUAACGGCUCACCUAGGCGACGAUCCCUAGCUGGUAUGAAAGAAUGACCAGCCACACUGGAACUGAGACACGGUCCAAACUCCUACGGGAGGCAGCAGUGGGGAAUAUUGCACGAUGGGCGCAAGCCAUAUGCAGCCAUGCCGCGUGUAUGAAGAAGGCCUUCGGGUUGUAAAGUACUUUCAGCGGGGAGGAAGGGAGUAAAGUUAAUACCUUUGCUCAUUGACGUUACCCGCAGAAGAAGCACCGGCUAACUCCGUG